UAGAGUUUGAUCCUGGCUCAGGACGAACGCUGGCGGCGUGCUUAACACAUGCAAGUCGAACGGAAAGGCCCUGCUUGCAGGGUACUCGAGUGGCGAACGGGUGAGUAACACGUGGGUGAUCUGCCCUGCACUUCGGGAUAAGCUUGGGAAACUGGGUCUAAUACCGGAUAGGACCGCACUUUAGUGUGUGUGGUGGAAAGUUUUUUCGGUGUAGGAUGAGCUCGCGGCCUAUCAGCUUGUUGGUGGGGUAAUGGCCUACCAAGGCGGCGACGGGUAGCCGGCCUGAGAGGGUGUACGGCCACAUUGGGACUGAGAUACGGCCCAGACUCCUACGGGAGGCAGCAGUGGGGAAUAUUGCACAAUGGGCGCAAGCCUGAUGCAGCGACGCCGCGUGGGGGAUGAAGGCCUUCGGGUUGUAAACUCCUUUCGCUAGGGACGAAGCUUUGUUGUGACGGUACCUAGAUAAGAAGCACCGGCUAACUGCGUGCCAGCAGCCCCGGUCAA
rnacentral:rRNA from 1 species